CCUACGGGAGGCAGCAGUGAGGAAUAUUGGUCAAUGGGCGAGAGCCUGAACCAGCCAAGUCGCGUGAAGGAUGACGGCCCUACGGGUUGUAAACUUCUUUUGUCAGGGAGCAAUUGAGUCCACGUGUGGGCUUAGCGAGAGUACCUGAAGAAAAAGCAUCGGCUAACUCCGUGCCAGCAGCCGCGGUAAUACGGAGGAUGCGAGCGUUAUCCGGAUUUAUUGGGUUUAAAGGGUGCGUAGGCGGAAUAUCAAGACAGCGGUAAAAUUUCGGGGCUCAAAGCCGUCGUGCCGUUGAAACUGAUGUUCUUGAGUGGGCGAGAAGUAUGCGGAAGGCGUGGUGUAGCGGUGAAAUGCAUAGAUAUCACGCAGAACUCCGAUUGCGAAGGCAGCAUACCGGCGCCCAACUGACGCUGAAGCACGAAAGCGUGGGUAUCGAACAGGAUUAGAUACCCCGGUAGUC
rnacentral:rRNA from 1 species